CAACCAUUUAAAUGUAGCAGCAAAGCAUGAACUCCUGACGGAGCAAAAGAUAAAAGAAAAAAAAAAAAAGAAAGAAGCAGAGAAGCAGAGCAAGACAAUAGUUAUGGCAAGCAGCAUCAGGCUUCUACAGUGCAGCUCCCCACAAGACCCAUGCUAAGCCUCCUCCUUUGGACUCCCUUUGGGCCGCGACACCUCCAAGCCCUUGGAGAUGGCGAGGCAGAUGAAGUGAUCCAGUGCUGGCAUAAGCAGCAGAGGAUGCUGACAUGUAGUGAUGUGCAAACUCCCCUGUCUGAGCUGAGUAUAUUUCUACCUUUGCUCUAAUUAUGAAUCACUCAGUUCAUGUCAGACCACUCACAUUUAAAUCAAGAUUUCGUGCCAUUUAGACAGGUGUUCUGUAAACACGGGGAGAAACACAGGGUGGUAUCUGGAAUGAAUGGGAUGGCUGCCUGAGUGUCUGUCUGAGUCCAUGUUCUGUACGAACAAAUUAAAAGCAAGAGUCUUUUAUGCUAAAUUUGUAUGGCCCUCUCCAUAAAUUGCUCAAUUUAUUUAAGUAUUUUCCAGUGGUGAGAUGUUUGGGGACAUAAAAGUUGAUAAAAUGCAUUAAAUA